UUCCAGUGUGAUAAUUAUUUUAUCAAUGUGAUUUUUUAAUUUUUUAAUUUUCAAAUUUAUUUUACCAAAUAAUUAUCGUCCACAUUUUCAACCGUUUGUGUGAGUGUUUUUUGUUCGGUUGAAUUUCAAAUUACGUUUUGAUCAUUCCCCCCAUCACCACCACAAUCACCACAAUCUGGAGUUAUUUGCUUGAUAUAAUCUCUUUUUGUUAUUUUUUGCUAUGGUUUUUUCUGGUUGGCAUGAUGAUGAUGAUGACGAUGACGGAUCAAUGGGGGUGGGAAUGAAUGAAUUUUCUGCCACACAAUUCAAUCUCAUUGAUAUAUCUGUGUGUGUAAUCUAGAUGAAUUUUGUCAUAUUUUUUUCCGACUCAUCUAAAUAUCUGUCUAUACUUUGACUGUCGUUUUUUGUUGAAUCUAUUUUUGGCUUUUCAAUUAUAUUAAAUGUGAAUACAAGCAAUUUACUUUUAGUGAUUAUUGUGGUUUUAGCAAUGAUGGCAAUAGUAAUAAUUGAUUCAUUUCGGAAUAAAUGCAAUUCUUAUGUAAUAAUAAUGAUAUAUAUCAAGGGACAUUUGCUGUUUUACCAACUAGUCGCAAGAUUUGUUGAUGCGCCCUUGAUUUUCUCUCGUUUGAUUUAUUCGAAAAAUGUAUUUUAUUUCCGG